rnacentral:rRNA from 1 species
GGGCGUAAAGAGCUCGUAGGUGGUCUGUUGCGUCGAUUGUGAAAACCCGGGGCUCAACUCCGGGCCUGCAGUCGAUACGGGCAGACUAGAGUUCGGCAGGGGAGACUGGAAUUCCUGGUGUAGCGGUGAAAUGCGCAGAUAUCAGGAGGAACACCGGUGGCGAAGGCGGGUCUCUGGGCCGAUACUGACACUGAGGAGCGAAAGCGUGGGGAGCGAACAGGAUUAGAUACCCUGGUAGUCCACGCCGUAAACGUUGGGCGCUAGGUGUGGGGGUCCUUCCACGGCCUCCGUGCCGCAGCUAACGCAUUAAGCGCCCCGCCUGGGGAGUACGGCCGCAAGGCUAAAACUCAAAGGAAUUGACGGGGGCCCGCACAAGCGGCGGAGCAUGUUGCUUAAUUCGAUGCAACGCGAAGAACCUUACCUAGGCUUGACAUGCAGGGAAAUCCGGCAGAGAUGUCGGGUCCGCAAGGGCCCUGCACAGGUGGUGCAUGGUUGUCGUCAGCUCGUGUCGUGAGAUGUUGGGUUAAGUCCCGCAACGAGCGCAACCCUCGUCCCAUGUUGCCAGCGGGUAAUGCCGGGGACUCAUGGGAGACUGCCGGGGUCAACUCGGAGGAAGGUAAU